UAUUUUUAUAUUUUAUAUAUAUAAAAACAUCCAGAAUAUAUAUGAUACUUUUAAGUUUGCUUAAAUGCUUGAAAAUAUAUACAAAUAAUCAAAUGUAAAUAUCUUAAAUAGUUAAAAUAUACUCAAAACUACAAAAAUACUUAAAUAAUUAUUAAUUUUCUAUCCAAAUAUUUAAACCAAACCUAUUUAAAUUGAUUAUCCAAAUCCGAACCAAAUCCUCAAAAAUCUUAAAUGAACACGAAAUUCCAAAAAGACCCGAAAACGAACCCGAACGCCCAUCCCUAAUCACUAUUAUAUAUAUCUUAUAUGUGUCAUCAUAGGUUACAAAAUAUUUGUUAUCAUAUAAUUAAUUGUAUUUUAUACGUACCAUCAAAUAAGUUUUUUUAUAAUUAAUAAUAUUGUAUAUGUACAAUCAUAUAAAUAAUCAAAUAAAUUAUAUUUUAAAAUUUAAUGUGAAAUAUAAAAAUCAUAAUUUAAGUUGGUGUAUGAAAUUGGGCUUUGUAUUGUAUUUUUCUUAUAUUAUUGAAAACAUUUUUAUAAUAGUUAUUGGAAAAUAUGUUUAUUUUUGAAUAUAUGUUUAUUUUUGAAUGAAUUUUUUAUAUAAAUCAAUUUUAAAUUAGUAUUUUGAUUUGAAUAUAUAUAUCAAGUAACAUAGACUCAUCACUUUUUAAUAAUAUAGAUGUAAUGGACUUCCAAUUUUUUAGUGGCAUAAACCCAUUAUUUUUUUUUCUAACUUAGUGCUAUCCAUAUUUCCAAACAGUGCUAUUUUUUAACUAUUAUCCAUAUUGCCAAACAAUCUCAAUGUGUACUUCAACUUUAAUAAUAUAGAUAAUAUCUAUUCCAAAUCACGUUUUACUUACAUAAAAUAUAUAUAUAUAUAUUGUUUACAACCCUUUAGAAAUAAAAUGAAUGUAUUUCAAAAUAAUUAAAAAUGUAUAUUCUGUUUUCUUCACGUUCAAAUCACAACGGUAUACAUAUGUUGUUAAGAUUUUUUAUUAAACCUAUCCCACUCAAAUAAAUAAAUAAAUAAAUAUUUAUAUAUAUCACUUGCCUUUUGCUUGGAAACUCACCAUUAUAUACAAAACAACCUAAACAUGUCUAAUCGGCUAUUUACAUAUAAAAUAUUUUAACCAUUUAUUCUAGAAACUUAUGUUAAUCGGCUAUUUCUAAUUUAUACUGUAUUACAUAUUCACUUACAAAUUAUCAUACAAAUUUGAUUUUUAAAUAUUUAAACGUAGCUUAAGUGCAUUAGAAUAAUAUUAUACCAAAUUGGAUUUAUAUUAGUGAAAUUAUAUGAACAAUACAAUAUUUUUUUACCAUUAUAAUAUAUUAUAUAUGUAGUUCUUAUUUGUUUUUUUAAUUUAUAUUCAUGUUGUUAUAUAUUUACAAAUGAUAACAACACUUUAUUUGAAUAUAGAUUUAAUGAAGCUCUAACAUAAUUAUAUAUAUAAAGUGUAUAUUUUUUGAGCAAAUAAAGUGUAUAUUUAUAUCACUAUAUAUGUAAAGUUAUAAAUAUUUCUAUAAUUUUUUUUCUUCAUUAUUAUAGAUAACUAUUUUUACAAUGUACACACACACACACACACACACAUAAGAAUGUGAUAAAUUAUAAUAUACACACAAUAAGAAUGUGAUGUAUAAACAUAUAUUAUAUUAAAACUGAAAUACAAAACAUUACUUACCUAAUUUUGAGUGAUUUCUAACAUCUUCUUCAUUCAUUUUAAAUUAAUUUUAACCACUCAUUUACUGUUUUCUAAAUAAUUUGAUAUCAUUUGUUACAUAUAUAUAAAAAAAGAACUUACCUAUUUUAAGUUUUUAUUACAUUUUUACAUUCCUUUUUACACUCUUUUAAAACUACUUUAUUAAUUAUAUUUACCAUAAUAAUUCGACGUCAUUUAUUUUACGUGUUAACAAAAAUAAUUUCACAUGUUUGAAUGAUAUUAUUUCAUUGUGACAAAAAUUCAAACCAGUUAACAAAUAUUUUUUUUUUCUCGUUACAUAAUAAUUUAGACAUGGGUAUUCGAGUACAAGUUUGGAUACAUAUCGGUUUUCUGGGUAUCGUGUUUUUUUUUUUAUAUUUUAAAAUUAAACUAUAUUCGGAUAUCAUAAAUGUUUCGGGCAUGAUUCGAGUGGAUUCUUCUGAAAUGUUUAGAAAUUUCUAAAUAACAUAUAUCUAUAUAUUUAGAAAUGUCAUUUCACAAUUUAUGAAACAGUAAAAACUAAUCUCCCGCGGUUGCGCGGAUCAAGAUCUAGUUUUCAAUUAUGUCCGGAGUCACAAAAUUAUAUAUACCCCCUUAAUCAAAUAAGGUGUGUGCCACAACACCACCAAUACUCAUGGCCCAUAUACGUUCACCCAUAAUGUGUGUCUAUUUAUUUUUAUGCAUGAUGCAUUGGAGUGAAGUGCUCAUAAUUGAGUAUAGUAGGCUUAGUGAUGUAGUAGUGAUCACGUUCAAAUUAAGAAUUUAUUACUCUAAGAGACACUUUUUAUCUUUAUAUUUACCUCAUUAGAUACAUGUUGAUGGCCACAUACAAGCCACACACUUUCUGUGUGUAUAAAGGCCAAUAUACCCUUCAGCUAUUUAGUUACUUCACGAACUCUUACUUCACAUGUGAACAAGACAAUAUGAUUUAGUUUUUAUUAAUUAAUUAAUUUAUUUAUUUGCUUUACUUUUUUGUUUUAAUUAAAAAAUAUAAAAACAUAAUCCUUAACCCUAAAACGUCUCUGUUUUUGUGUAUCAAAACUCCCACCGGAAUCAGCCUCUGUCUUAUCCAUGCCACAACCUUGCUUCUAUUGCACCUUCAACCAAUCGUGAUAACCACUACGAGCCUAGCAGAUUUCUUCCUUGUAUUUUCAUAACUGCGAUUGUGUCCAAGCCGUGGCAAUCUUCCACCACGAGAUCUAUCGUACAAGUCGCCUCCACGCCGUGCUCAGCUUGCCUCCACACCGUGCUUAGCUUUCCUCCUCGCCAUCCUCAGCUUACCUCCUCGUCAUCCUCAGCUCAUAGUGUCCAAGACGCCUCCUCGCCGUGUGCAAGCCGUCUCAAUCCUCAACCAUGAGAUCUAUCUUCAUCUUGUUCGUUAUCUCAGUCAAGUUGCGGUGGUUCAAGCUUGGGGCGCCAUGGACAAAAGCUCGCCGUGUCCAAUCGUCUUUUUUCUCGGGAUUGCGAUAGCGAAUAUCCCUAGAUUUCUAUCUGCGUCCACAUCUACAACUAAACCCUCACCUUGACCACAACCCCAUUGUCCAUCACUAAAAAUUAAAUUUUACCUUGUCCAAAUCCAUAAUUUCAGCAGUUAUCUUGUCCACAUACUACAUUCACAAGUACAAUGUUUACCGGUAUUUGUCUUUUGUCAAUGAACCUUACCUUGUCCACAUACACAAUUUCAACAGUAACCUCGUCCACAUACUAUAUUCACAUCCACAAACAAAUAGCUUUUUCACCUUCCAAAACCUACAUCGAAAGCUACAUUAAUGCACGUCACAAUCGUGCAUUAGACUAUCUACAAUCAUAAAAUUAUUCAACACUCUCUUUUUCUCUUUUUAACACUUCACACCAUCUUGUCUCUCUUCCACAUACUUAUUCAACAACCACUUCAUUUUUAACAUCUACAAUAGUAUUGUUUAAUAAAAUUCAACACCAUACCCCACUAUUUCCAAUUCAUCUUUCUUUAUAUAUUUUAUAAUUUAAUAACUAUUUAUUAAGUACACAUGAUAUAACAUACAAAACAACAAAUAAAAACACACAACUUAUUUGGUACUAUAAACACAAAUAAAAACAUACAACUUAUUUGGUACAAUAAGAACAAUCACACACGACAACUUUAAGUUUUUUAAUCACGAAACAUUUCGAAUUUCGCCCAUAUGUGUUUGACUAGAUCUGUUUGCAGUUCGUGAUGUACAUUUGAAUCACGUAAUUCAGAUCUAGCUCAGACAUGAUUUGCAAAUACGGGUAACACCUCUGUCGAAAAUGGAUGUGGUGUGCUUGUUGAACCACUUGCCUCAGAUUGAUCAUAAUCGGUCCAGUGUUGAGCAUAUGUAUCUCGUUCAUCCUCAACAAUCAUUUUAUACAAUAUGAUACAUGACCGCAUGAUGAUAGCCAAAUCGGAUAUGUCCCACAUGCGAGCUAGUUCACGAAUGAUUUUGAAUCGAGCCUGUAACACUCCAAAUGCACGUUCGAUAUCCUUCCGGCAUCCUUCUUUAUGUUUUGCAAAUAACUUGUCUGGUUCACUCUGAGAAAGUCGGAUUGAUUUGACGAAAGUUGGAUAAGAAGGAUAGAUACCAUCAGCUAGAAAGUAUGCCAUGUCAUACGGAUGUUGGUUGACGAAAAAGUUCACUCUCGGAGUAUUUCCUUGUUCAACAUCAUCAAAUACCGGCGAACGAUCUAGAACGUUUAUAUCGUUUAGUGUACUCGGACAUCC